UUUUAUGGAGAGUUUGAUCCUGGCUCAGAGUGAACGCUGGCGGCGUGCCUAAUACAUGCAAGUCGAACGAUGAAGCUUCUAGCUUGCUAGAAGUGGAUUAGUGGCGCACGGGUGAGUAAGGUAUAGUUAAUCUGCCCUACACAAGAGGACAACAGUUGGAAACGACUGCUAAUACUCUAUACUCCUGCUUAACACAAGUUGAGUAGGGAAAGUUUUUCGGUGUAGGAUGAGACUAUAUAGUAUCAGCUAGUUGGUAAGGUAAUGGCUUACCAAGGCUAUGACGCUUAACUGGUCUGAGAGGAUGAUCAGUCACACUGGAACUGAGACACGGUCCAGACUCCUACGGGAGGCAGCAGUAGGGAAUAUUGCGCAAUGGGGGAAACCCUGACGCAGCAACGCCGCGUGGAGGAUGACACUUUUCGGA
rnacentral:rRNA from 1 species